rnacentral:rRNA from 1 species
GUCCACGCCCUAAACGAUGGUUACUCGGUGUUCGAUGGAUUAACCCAUUGAGUACCUAAGCUCACGCAUUAAGUAACCCGCCUGGGGGAGUACGGUCGCAAGGCUAAAAACUCAAAGGAAUUGACGGGGGCUCACACAAGCGGUGGAGCAUGUGGCUCAAUUCGAGGCAACGCGAAGAACCUUAUCCUGGGUUUGACAUGCAGGGAUUAACUCCAUGAAAGUGGAGCCACGCCUUCGGGUGGAACCUGCACAGGUGCUGCAUGGCUGUCGU